GACAUCUAGCAACAUGUCAUGAUGUCGUAAAAGAUUUAAAAUUUGAUGAAAAUAUAAAAAUUAUUCUUUCAUAGUGAGUUACCUUGUAAUUCAAUCCUUCAAUCACACAACAUCCCAGAUAGAUCAUGGGCAUAGAGAUAUAUCAAACUCAAAUACCUAUCCAUUUGUAUCUCAAUCUGAUGAUGAUGACUCGAUUGAUGAACCAAUAAAAAUCUUUUCUACUGUCCAUCCUUGGUC
rnacentral:lncRNA from 1 species